CUGGGGCAGCUUACCAUGCAGUCGAGCGGUAACAGGGGGUGCUUGCACCCCGCUGACGAGCGGCGGACGGGUGAGUAAUGCAUAGGAAUCUGCCCAGUAGUGGGGGAUAGCCCGGGGAAACCCGGAUUAAUACCGCAUACGCCCUUUGGGAGAAAGCAGGGGAUCUUCGGACCUUGCGCUAUUGGAUGAGCCUAUGUCGGAUUAGCUAGUUGGUGGGGUAAAGGCCUACCAAGGCGACGAUCCGUAGCUGGUCUGAGAGGAUGAUCAGCCACAUCGGGACUGAGACACGGCCCGAACUCCUACGGGAGGCAGCAGUGGGGAAUAUUGGACAAUGGGGGCAACCCUGAUCCAGCCAUGCCGCGUGUGUGAAGAAGGCUUUCGGGUUGUAAAGCACUUUCAGUGAGGAGGAAAACCUUCUGGUUAAUACCCAUGAGGCUUGACGUUACUCACAGAAGAAGCACCGGCUAACUCCGUGCCAGCAGCCGCGGUAAUACGGAGGGUGCAAGCGUUAAUCGGAAUUACUGGGCGUAAAGCGCGCGUAGGUGGUUUGAUAAGCGAGAUGUGAAAGCCCCGGGCUUAACCUGGGAACGGCAUUUCGAACUGUCAGGCU
rnacentral:rRNA from 1 species